AGGAAUGCUGUGGUAUAUGGGCCCACCAGACCUCUGAAUGUCAAAGUAUCCGAAGGCCCACACCUUGAAUUCUCUCUGCACCUAUACUCAUUCCUUAAAUGUCCUCAUCUGGUCAUGUAACUUUAAAUGACAUCAUCGUGAUGACGGCUGUAAGUCCUCAGGUCCCCUCCCUGUCCCCCUUGGCUAUAAAUCCCC